AUUGAACGCUGGCGGCAGGCCUAACACAUGCAAGUCGAACGAGUGGCGGACGGGAUAGUAAUGACUGGGCAACUGCGUGAUGGAUGGGGAUCACUACUGGGCACGGUAGCUACAACCGCAUACUAUCGGAUGGGCCCAGAUGGGUUGAGCUAGUAGGUGGGGUAAAGGCUCACCUAGGCGACGAUCCCUACCUGGUCUGAGAGGAGGACAAGCCACACUGGAACUGAGACACGGUCCAGACUCCUACGGGAGGCAGCAGUGGGGAAUAUUGCACAAUGGGCGAAAGCCUGAUGCAGCCAUGCCGCGGGUAUGAAGAAGGCCUUAGGGUUGUAAAGUACUUUCAGUUGGGAGGCGUUACCGACAGAAGAAGCACCGGCUAACUCCGUGCCAGCAGCCGCGGUAAUAC
rnacentral:rRNA from 1 species